AUUGUAGGCUGCAACUCGCCUACAUGAAGCCGGAGUUGCUAGUAAUCGCGAAUCAGCAUGUCGCGGUGAAUACGUUCCCGGGCCUUGUACACACCGCCCGUCACACCAUGAGAGUUGGUAACACCCGAAGUCCGUGAGGUAACCGUAAGGAGCCAGCGGCCGAAGGUGGGAUUGAUGAUUGGGGUGAAGUCGUAACAAGGUAGCCGUAGGAGAACCUGCGGCUGGAUCACCUCCUUUCUAGGGAG
rnacentral:rRNA from 1 species